UACGUAGGGGGCUAGCGUUGUCCGGAAUCAUUGGGCGUAAAGCGCGCGUAGGCGGUCAGGUAAGUCCGGUGUGAAAGUCAAAGGCUCAACCUUUGAAUGCCGCUGGAUACUGCCUGACUUGAGUCCGGAAGGGGCGAGUGGAAUUCCUGGUGUAGCGGUGAAAUGCGCAGAUAUCAGGAAGAACACCCGUGGCGAAGGCGGCUCUCUGGGACGGUACUGACGCUGAGACGCGAAAGCGUGGGGAGCGAACAGG
rnacentral:rRNA from 1 species